rnacentral:rRNA from 1 species
GGACUACCCGGGUAUCUAAUCCUGUUUGCUCCCCACGCUUUCGCACCUCAGCGUCAGUACCGGGCCAGUGAGCCGCCUUCGCCACUGGUGUUCUUGCGAAUAUCUACGAAUUUCACCUCUACACUCGCAGUUCCACUCACCUCUCCCGGACUCGAGCUUCCCAGUAUCGAAGGCAGUUCUGGAGUUGAGCUCCAGGAUUUCACCACCGACUUAAGAAGCCGCCUACGUGCGCUUUACGCCCAGUAAUUCCGAGCAACGCUAGCCCCCUUCGUAUUACCGCGGCUGCUGGCAC